GGCUUUAUAGUUGAAAUAACAAUAUCAAAUUGCAGCUUUGAGGGUAUAAAAUUUAUUAAGGCUU
rnacentral:tRNA from 1 species